CAAGCUUGCAUCAUUGCCAGUGGGAGGACUACCUAGCUCACUCGAAAGUUUGAAGAUUUCACAGACUCGCAUAUCUCAAAGCAGAUGUGCGAGGAGGGUGGCACUGAGCGGGAAAAUGUCAGAUCUAUUCCUGAGGUAGAAAUUGAUGAUCUGCCAAUUCCAACAGGCAACAGCACCUUUUCCCAUGCCACGAUGUUAGCAUUGGACAUUAAUGUGUAUCUAUCAACCCAUAUACAGAAUAAUUCUGAUUUUGAUAACAGUUAUUUCUCGGCUCUGCCACUGCAUCAACUUGAACCAACUUGGAAAUUGAAGAACUGAAGUAUCAAUCUCUAUGGAUGACUUAUGCUAAAUCCUAAUGUAGAUGAGAUGGCGCUCCAGAAAACAUGUUUGGC